CUGCAGACUUUUCUUGCUGCAUCGUCGACGUUGGGUUAAAAACCGCCAGGCUAAAGUGGGACUGGGCAGGCCAUGUACGACGCAUGCACCCACAGAGAUGGGCUAAACUAGCCACGGAGUUGGUGCCACAAUGUAAACGCCGGCAAGGUCGGCCUAAGAGGAGAUGGCGGGACGACCUGGACACAUUUCUCAGCAACUUGACAGAGGCUGCACUUAAUGGGGAGGAUUGGAGGUCUAGGGGGGAGGCCUUUGGUGUCUACCCAGCAGUGGGACACCUUAUAGGCAGGAUUUUUUUUUUACAUGAUUGAUACACUUAUACGUAGAUUCCGUUUACGCUUGCCGCUUGCACUAUAACAGGUUAUAAAAUGAAACGUAGUUUUAAAAGGUCACAACUACCCAUAAUUAUCUAGUGACUGCUAACAUUUUGUCGGCCGUUUUAUACAUAAUAACCAAGUUUAAGCACAAGGCUACAUAUUGAUGACGAUGGUGGCUACCUUGAAUUAAUAAAUAGUAAUUGUUAUUUAUUUUGAAGGUAAAUAGAGAUAAACUAUUUUUAAAACCCUUCACUGGAAUACCAAGUAUAUCCACAUAUAAGAUUAAUCUGGGGAAAGCACCUACAGGGUUUCCAACGAAUGUAGCUGCAGGUUAGUGGAAUUGACGCGUGACCAGAGCACAGAAUAAAUAAUAGUACUAGGUACAGAAGACUCACUCUCUAACAAAACGCGACUGUUACGAUCAGCACAGAUAUGGCCGCUAGGUGACGACAGCGCCACGCGCGGCUUAUAGCUAUUAGCCACCAAAAUUGGGGUCAAACGGAAGUACUUUUAACUACCUGUAGCAAAGCGACGAAAUCGCCGAGUGAGACACGCCUCCCAGAGGGCUGGACUUGGGUCAUAUCAUAUCAUAGUUAUCAUAGCUCAGCCAUUUGCAUUGGCCAAUUGCCAUACAACAUGGCAAUUAAUGCUGCCAGCGUUCUGGACAUGCUGCCUAUAGAUGGCGAUUUGAGGCAAAUUUUCUAUUCAUAGUUUAUUUUUAAGCUUAGUUUUUAAUUUUUUUUUAGUUUCGGUUUUUAAUUUUUAUCUUAAAGGUUUUUUAUUGUUUGUUGUAGACCUAAUUGUAACGUAUUCUGGCAAAUGAAUCUUAUGGUCGCAAUACACACAUAAGCAUAAAAUCCGCUAAAAAAUACAUGUAUUUAGUUCAUUUCUUCUCCUCUUUUUACAAGCUUUAAUAACUUGCAAUGUUUGUAUUUAUGUAUGUUCGGGUUAAUAUUGCGAGCUACAGUAGACCCACUUCCCAUUUGUCGAUUAAGCUGAAACUUCACAUUCAGUACUUAAUUUGGGUUAAAAAUGAGUAUCUAAUAACUUAAUAAGUAUACAAAAAGCAUUAAUUAGUAUGUCUAAGUAACAAAAUAAAUAAAGUUGUCCUAUAAUAUUUAUUUAUUUAAAUGUAACGACUUCACAUCUAAAAAACUCGUUGAUAAAUGAUGAUAAAGGUUAAAAACUGGAAUACCUAUACGUAGUUAUAUUAUAGGACUAUAGUUACCUGAUUUUACGGUAUAAAAAGUAUUUUGAAUUUAUCAUAGGUACACAUUAUAAUCAUCCUGUAUAAAAAAGAUACGUGCAGAACGUGCCACAAAGAAAAUACGUUCACUUCAUAUUUACUGAUAAUCCGAUUGAGAAUGUGACAGUCGUACGUAGGUACCUAGGCCACACCCGGUAUAUAGUGGAAAUUUUCUAAGAUCACAUACUUUGACAGUCAAGAAUUGUUCGCUCCCAUAUAAUGUAAUGCACUCCAACAUUUUUUAUACUUACAUGAAAAUUUUAACACCACCUCAGUUAAGCGUUACAUAUAUGUAAAUAGUGCUUCAUUAUUUUCCAUCGUAUUUUCACGGAAACGUAAGUGUCUUUGCUAUUUUUGUCAGUCUCGGUACAAAAAGUACCGACGUUGAUUGAAGUAGCAAGACAAAUACGAACGUUUCCGAGAAAAUACGAUGGAAAACAAUUAUGCACUACAUCUGUACAAGAUUUGUGUAGGAAUGUCCUUAUUUACUAACCCCCUUACCUAUUCCUAAACGCGCUAUAUGCUCGGACAAAUCAUCGCAAAACCAUCAAAAAUCAUCUACUAAUCUAUAUCUGAAAAUAGGACAAGAUUUAUUAAACUCAUAUUAAAUAUACACAGUAUCUUUAUAAAAUUUCCAGAUUAUACUGAAAAGCUGCAGUUUAAAAUUGUUACAAAAAUUGUAUCAUGUUCCAUACCGACGCUUAAGAAUCAAUACUCUCUAACUAACAUUUUUGACGUUUUUUAUCUUUUAAUGCAGUUACGUGCAGAAAUAAAUAACGAAUAGAAUGCUAUAAUUGUCUAAAUUUUCAAUUAUUUGUUACUUAGACAGUAUUGAUUCUUAAGCGUCGAUACCAUAUUUAUUUUUGCGAUAAAUUGUCCGAACUCUAUCAAUUAGCUAUCUUUGUCCUUAUCUGUCAUUUUGACUUAUGUAUUUGUAAGAAAGGGAUAAAAGGCGGU